AACGAACGCUGGCGGCAUGCCUAACACAUGCAAGUCGAACGAGACCUUCGGGUCUAGUGGCGCACGGGUGCGUAACGCGUGGGAACCUGCCCUUAGGCUCGGAAUAACUCCCCGAAAGGGGUGCUAAUACCGGAUAAUGUCUUCGGACCAAAGAUUUAUCGCCGUUGGAUGGGCCCGCGUUGGAUUAGCUAGUUGGUAGGGUAAAAGCCUACCAAGGCGACGAUCCAUAGCUGGUCUGAGAGGAUGAUCAGCCACACUGGGACUGAGACACGGCCCAGACUCCUACGGGAGGCAGCAGUGGGGAAUAUUGGACAAUGGGCGAAAGCCUGAUCCAGCAAUGCCGCGUGAGUGAUGAAGGCCUUAGGGUUGUAAAGCUCUUUUACCCGGGAUGAUAAUGACAGUACCGGGAGAAUAAGCUCCGGCUAACUCCGUG
rnacentral:rRNA from 1 species